UACGGGGGGUGCGAGCGUUGUCCGGAAUCACUGGGCGUAAAGGGCGCGUAGGCGGCCAAGUAAGUUGGGGGUGAAAGCCCGUGGCUCAACCACGGAAUUGCCUUCGAUACUGCUUGGCUUGAGACCGGAAGAGGUGAGUGGAACUGCGAGUGUAGAGGUGAAAUUCGUAGAUAUUCGCAAGAACACCGAUGGCGAAGGCAAUCCCCUGGGCCUGCACUGACGCUCAUGCACGAAAGCGUGGGGAGCAAACAGG
rnacentral:rRNA from 1 species